UCGAGAAGCUUCGGCAAUGGGCGAAAGCCUGACCGAGCGACGCCGCGUGAGCGAUGAAGGCCCUAGUGGUCGUAAAGCUCUGCCAGAUUGGGAACAAAUCCCGGGGGCGAACAACCCCCGGUGCUGAGGGUACCGUCAGAGGAAGCACCGGCUAACUCCGUGCCAGCAGCCGCGGUAAUACGGAGGGUGCGAGCGUUGUUCGGAUUCACUGGGUAUAAAGAGUUCGUAGGCGGCCCCGUAAGUCAGAGGUGAGAGCUGUCGGCUCAACCGGCAAAUUGCCUUUGAAACUGCAGGGCUUGAGUCCGGGAGAGGAAGGUGGAAUUCCUGGUGUAGCGGUGAAAUGCGUAGAUAUCAGGAGGAACACCGGUGGCGAAGGCGGCCUUCUGGCCCGGCACUGACGCUGAGGAACGGAAGCCAGGGGAGCGAACGG
rnacentral:rRNA from 1 species